CCUACGGGAGGCAGCAGUGAGGAAUAUUGGUCAAUGGGCGCGAGCCUGAACCAGCCAAGUCGCGUGAGGGAGGACGGCCCUACGGGUUGUAAACCUCUUUUGCCGGGGAGCAACGGGCGCCACGUGUGGCGCCACUGAGAGUACCCGGAGAAAAAGCAUCGGCUAACUCCGUGCCAGCAGCCGCGGUAAUCCGGAGGUUGCGAGCGUUAUCCGGAUUUAUUGGGUUUAAAGGGUGCGUAGGCGGAUCGUUAAGUCAGUGGUCAAAUUGAGGGGCUCAACCCCUUCCCGCCAUUGAAACUGGCGAUCUUGAGUGGAAGAGAAGUAUGCGGAAUGCGUGGGGUAGCGGUGAAAUGCAGAGAUAUCACGCAGAACCCCGAUUGCGAAGGCAGCAUGCCGGCUUCCGACUGACGCUGAAGCACGAAAGCGUGGGGAUCGAACAGGAUUAGAUACCCGAGUAGUC
rnacentral:rRNA from 1 species